rnacentral:ncRNA from 1 species
CAACCGUCCACGGGAGAAUCCGGCCGCAAGGCCGGUGCCGAAGGAGCAACCGCCCCGGUAAACUCUCAGGCAGCAAGGACCGCGGACGGACA